GAUGAACGCUGGCGGCGUGCUUAACACAUGCCAGUCGAACGGUGAACCCGGAGCUUGCUCUGUGGGAUCAGUGGCGAACGGGUGAGUAACACGUGAGCAACCUGCCCCUGACUCUGGGAUAAGCGCUGGAAACGGCGUCUAAUACUGGAUAUGUGACGUGACCGCAUGGUCUGCGUUUGGAAAGAUUUUUCGGUUGGGGAUGGGCUCGCGGCCUAUCAGCUUGUUGGUGAGGUAAUGGCUCACCAAGGCGUCGACGGGUAGCCGGCCUGAGAGGGUGACCGGCCACACUGGGAUUGAGACACGGCCCAGACUCCUACGGGAGGCAGCAGUGGGGAAUAUUGCACAAUGGGCGAAAGCCUGAUGCAGCAACGCCGCGUGAGGGAUGACGGCCUUCGGGUUGUAAACCUUUUUUAGCAGGGAAGAAGCGAAAGUGACGGUACCUGAAGAAAAAGCGCCGGCUAACUACGUG
rnacentral:rRNA from 1 species